UACGUAGGAUGCAAGCGUUGUCCGGAUUUACUGGGCGUAAAGCGCGCGCAGGCGGCACUCUAAGUACGCUGUGAAAUAUCCCGGCUCAACCGGGAGGGUGCAGUGUAGACUAGGGAGCUAGAGGUCGGUAGAGGGGGGUGGAAUUGCUGGUGUAGCGGUGAAAUGCGUAGAGAUCAGCAGGAACACCCGUGGCGAAGGCGGCCCCCUGGGCCGUACCUGACGCUGAGGCGCGAAGGCUAGGGGAGCAAACAGG
rnacentral:rRNA from 1 species